UCCUCCUUCUGACACUGGGUGAAUUAAGGUCUGGUUUUCAUCCUGCCGUGGACAUCACUCCAUCAGUACAGAGCAGUGAUACCCAGGCUACUCAAUGCUUUCUUGUCUGGGACAACGAUAGAAGGAAGGCAAAGGGGAGAGGAGGAUUUCGUGGCACACUCCUGCCACACACAGUGGGAAUACCAACACCUGUAAAAAACACCCAGACUCAAGAAAAAUCCGGGAAAUGGUCUUCCCACUAAAUUCCUGAAGAGGAAAGAAAGUGCCCCACAUUCUCCACUGCAGUGUUAGGGCCGCUUCUGAACAAGAGGUCUUGACUAGGGAAAUCCAUAAAAAUAAAGAAGAUUAGAACCAUCACUUUGCAAACAUCACCACAAGGGGGAAUCAUCUUCGUGUUUAAAGAAAAAGUGUCUGGAACUUACAUCUUGACCCUGAUUGGUUCUCUGGAAGGCCCAGCCACGGAUCAAAGGAGAAGAGCCACACAUUGUUGCCACAUGCGGCUGGCUCCAGGAGAUCACGCCAACAGUCACCUGCUGACCUCUUCUGCAGGUGACCAAUGAUGACCCCUCUUCCUCUCCUGAGAGCUUUCAUCCCAGCCUCCUGCACUGGCCACCCCAAUACUGCCAUCUUCACAUUUGGUUUGCACUGGAUAACUUUUUGUAUAAUCUUAGAGACAACAUAUUUCACAGGCAAAAUUUUUAGAGGACAAUAAAGGGCACUUUGGACCUGCAGGAUGAUGGACAGUUAUUGUAAACACCUGUUCUUGGUCUUGGUAAAUGUGAACUGACCAUAUUUCAUCUAAAUCAAUGAGUUAUUUCUAUAACUAAGCUUGCUUUCCUUCUUCAACAAUCUUAAAGUCCUAGAAUAACUCGAGUAAAGAUAAACUCUCUAGUUUUGUUGAGAACGGAAAGAUUUGCCUAAGGUCACACAGUACUUAACAGUGGGAUUUCACAAUAUUUUACCUAAGUGCUCAGAGGAAGAGAGA